UUUCUUUGUGAAGGAGAAAAAAAAUCAGAGAGAAAAAAAUCAGAGAGAUAUACCGGAGAAAACUUUCAAAAAACUCAGUCAAUUUCUAGGUUUUUAGUCAUCACUUUCCUCCAAGUUUUCUGUUCUUUUUUUUUAUCUAUUUUUUCUUCAGUUUGCUUUGUUGUUUUCUCUUCUGAAAGAUACACAAAAAAAUAUGGCUUAAGUUUCAGCCUUCGUUCGAGUUUUGUUUUGGUUUUGAGAAAAAUAUCAGAGAGAAAUUAGGAGAAAAAUCGAAGAAAAAUCAGAAAAAGAAAUCUAGAGAAAAAUUCUUGGAAAUCCGAAAAGAGUAAAUUUUUUCUAGGGUUCUUGAAAUUGUCAUCUUCUUCAAGCCAUUUUUGUUUCUUAGUCUGCUUUCUCUUCAGAAAAAAAAAACAUACGAAAAUACAGUGGUUUGAGUUCAUUUUUUUUUUCGAGUUUUGCUUCAUUUUUCAAGAGAAAAACCAAAAAAAAAAGAAUCACUGAACAGACGUUUUCUAGCACUUGUUUUCUUCUUGGGUUCUGUUUUAUCAAAGGAAUUUGACUUAAACGUUCGAGUUGGAGUUUUUGUUUUGUAGUUCAAAAUUCCAGUAGUGGCUCCGUUCAAGUUGGUUGAUUCCUGUUUUCUUGUUGCUGUUCGUUACAAGCUCUGAGCCGCGGUUUUGCUCGAGUAGAUUCUAUGUUGUAAUCCCUGAAGUUCUUUGUUAAUUGAAAGCUUUAAUCCCAGAUCUAGGCACUUUUGGUCCCAGUGGCAGACGCUGAUCGAGGCUUCCGGUUUUCAGGAGACUAUUGGGGUAUCUGCACGGCGUUCGCAGUGUUGGAUUUUGAGUAGAGGCUAGCCUAGUUCCACGAUAAGCGCCAUCACGAUGGGUAGAGUUUUGGGUCGUGACAGCGCAAGCCUUCACGUGUUCGCAUAAUUAAUUUGGGCUGAGCUGGGCUGAGGCUGUUUCUCUUCAUGUUCGCGAUAUUGUUCCCGCAAUUGCGUAGCUUUGAGAGCCUUGUGUAUUGCGCUCGCGAAGCUGUUGUUGUGAUCGCGUAGUGUAUCUUUGUGAGGCUGCUGAGUUUCUUCUUUGCGAUUGCGAUGUAGGUCUCACGGUUGCGUAGAGUAUUUGGCGAAAGAUUUCUUUUGUUCGUCGUGAAAACGAUGUCUUUUCCGUGUUCCAUAAGAGGAAUGCCUAGGCAGAAUUAUAAGUCUAUUUCUGAGGUUUCAGCCAUUUUAGCAUAUUUGGAGCUAUGGAGCUUGGAUUGGAGCGAUUUUUUAGGUGAUUUUCACCAUGUGGAUUGGGUUUCGAGCUGUUUGGAGGUCAGUACACGCAUGAUGGCAUUUUGGAGCAUCGUCUGGCUUGAUCGGUAUUGGAUUUGGCUUGUUCGAGAUGUUGGAUGCUGAUAUUGUUGUGUUCGACGGGAACUGGAACUGAAGACGUACCCGCGUUCCGGUUGAAGCUGCCUCUUGUUCAUGGUAGCCUUAGAUUUAUAAAAAUCUAUUUAUCUAAAUUUUGAAUAGAUGAUGUAUUUAUUUCAUACCAGCUUUGUAAAUUAUAAUCUUAGAAGCUCAUAAUUUGUACUAUCAGUCCUUGGGAAAUUUCUUGUAUAAAAGUAGU